GGACUCUCGCUCUGGAACUGUAAGUCGGAGAAACUCUUUCUUCCAUUGGCCAUUUGUGCUCGCCGCAUUUAUCACCGCGACAGACAGGGAACUACCGUGGUUUCCAUAACCACUCAGCGGGAGCCGCUGUCAGGGCACCUUUGGACGGAAUGUGCAACGGGUAGUUGCUACCGUGGGAUUGUGUCCCCAAAAGCCCACAUGGUGGGAAGCUGGCUCUCAGUGUAACAGUGUUGGGCAAGAAGACUACUGGAAGGAUGAAGCGCUCUACCAGAUACAGAACACGUGACCACACCACACCGUUGGAUGUCUUCAGAACUGUGACACAAACAAAGGAUUAUUCCUCAUAAACUGCAGGCGUGGUCCCUGGAUUUGUGAGAGAACGGGCUGGGGGGUGGGGUGGUCUGUUUCUCCGUGGACAUCUCUCUAGGGGCAGCUGGGUUCACCGAGUGGAAGUGUACGCUAUAAUGUAGCACCCCUUGGAAGGUGCGCUGAAGUUCCAACACUCCAAUCUGAGGACCUAAUAGAACUGGCUUAAUUUAAAGAUGAACCUGAGGGACUGGAGAGACGGCUCAGUGGUUACGAGCAUUGGAUACGCCUCCAGAGGACCCAAGUUCAGUUCCCAGCAGCCCCAUGGCAGCUCACACAUCCAGCUUCAAUCGUGUUGACACCUUCGCACUGCAGGCAAUACAGCAAUGUGUAUAAAGUAAGAAUAAAUCAUUUUUAAAGAUGAA